UACGAAGGGGGCUAGCGUUGUUCGGAUUUACUGGGCGUAAAGCGCACGUAGGCGGAUUGUUAAGUGAGGGGUGAAAUCCCAGGGCUCAACUUCGGAACUGCCCUUGAUACAGCACGUCUUGAGUCCGAUAGAGGUGGGUGGAAUUCCUAGUGUAGAGGUGAAAUUCGUAGAUAUUAGGAAGAACACCGGUGGCGAAGGCGGCCCACUGGAUCGGUACUGACGCUGAGGUGCGAAAGCGUGGGGAGCAAACAGG
rnacentral:rRNA from 1 species